rnacentral:rRNA from 1 species
AGAGCGAACGCUGGCGGCAUGCUUAACACAUGCAAGUCGCACGGGCACUUUCGGGUGUCAGUGGCGGACGGGUGAGUAACGCGUAGGUAUCUGUCCAUGGGUGGGGGAUAACGCCGGGAAACUGGUGCUAAUACCGCAUGAUGACUGAGGUCCAAAGGCGCAAGUCGCCUGUGGAGGAGCCUGCGUUCGAUUAGCUUGUUGGUGGGGUAACGCCUACCAAGGCGACGAUCGAUAGCUGGUCUGAGAGGAUGAUCAGCCACAUUGGGACUGAGACACGGCCCAAACUCCUACGGGAGGCAGCAGUGGGGAAUAUUGGACAAUGGGCGCAAGCCUGAUCCAGCAAUGCCGCGUGGAUGAAGAAGGUCUUCGGAUUGUAAAGUCCUUUCGACGGGGACGAUGAUGACGGUACCCGUAGAAGAGCCCCGGCUAACUUCGUGCCAGCAGCCGC